rnacentral:rRNA from 1 species
CGGGUGGCAGCAGCAGUGGGGAAUAUUAGACAAUGAGCGCAAGCUUGAUCUAGCAAUACUUCGUGUGUGAUUAGAAGAAUAGGGGACUAUUUGUAAAGCACUGUCAGUAAAAAUGAAGUUGACAUUAUUUACCUAAGAAGCUCCGGCUAAUUUCGUGCCAGCAGCCGCGGUAAUACGAAAGGAGCAGGUGUUAUUCGGAUUAACUGGGCGUAAAGGGUGCGUAGAUGGUUUGUUAUGUGUAUUGUUAAAACUUAAAGCAUAACUUUAUGUUGCAAUAUAUACAGCUAAACUAGAGUAAUAAAGAGGAUAGUAGAAUUUCUAAUGUAAAGGUGAAAUUUGAUAAAAUUAGAGAGAAUAUCAACGGCGUAAGCAACUAUCUGGGUCUUAACUGACAUUGGGGCACGAAAGCGUAGGUAGCAAAUAGGAUUAGAUACCCUGGUAGUC